rnacentral:snoRNA from 1 species
AUGCUAUGAGGAAUCAUGAAAACUUUCGCAUGUCAGACUUCAGAGAUGCCAUGGCAU